GCCCGCCUAGCUCAAUCGGAUAGAGCGUCAGACUCUUAUCGUCUAGGACGGGUUAAUUUCCUUCCAUAGGAUGGAAUCUGAAGGCUGCGAGUUCGACCCUCGCGGUGGGCU
rfam:Coprinopsis cinerea okayama7#130 chromosome 4 cont3.4, whole genome shotgun sequence.